rnacentral:tRNA from 1 species
UGUAAAAUAAGCUAAGUUUAAAGCUAUUGGGCUCAUACCCCAAAAAUGAAUAAGUUCUUUUACAA